UGGGGAAUUUUGGACAAUGGGCGCAAGCCUGAUCCAGCCAUGCCGCGUGCGGGAAGAAGGCCUUCGGGUUGUAAACCGCUUUUGUCAGGGAAGAAAUCUUCUGAGUUAAUACCUCGGGAGGAUGACGGUACCUGAAGAAUAAGCACCGGCUAACUACGUGCCAGCAGCCGCGGUAAUACGUAGGGUGCAAGCGUUAAUCGGAAUUACUGGGCGUAAAGCGUGCGCAGGCGGUUUUGUAAGACAGAGGUGAAAUCCCCGGGCUCAACCUGGGAACUGCCUUUGUGACUGCAAGGCUUGAGUGCGGCAGAGGGGGAUGGAAUUCCGCGUGUAGCAGUGAAAUGCGUAGAUAUGCGGAGGAACACCGAUGGCGAAGGCAAUCCCCUGGGCCUGCACUGACGCUCAUGCACGAAAGCGUGGGGAGCAAACAGGAUUAGAUACCCUGGUAGUCCACGCCCUAAACGAUGUCAACUGGUUGUUGGGAAGGUUCCUUCUCAGUAACGUAGCUAACGCGUGAAGUUGACCGCCUGGGGAGUACGGCCGC
rnacentral:rRNA from 1 species